UACGAAGGGGGCUAGCGUUGUUCGGAAUUACUGGGCGUAAAGGGCGCGUAGGCUGUGCUGUAAGUCAGGCGUGAAAGCCCCGGGCUCAACCUGGGAAUUGCGCUUGAUACUGCGGCGCUGGAAGGUGGGAGAGGAUGGCGGAAUUCCCAGUGUAGAGGCGAAAUUCGUAGAUAUUGGGAAGAACACCGGUGGCGAAGGCGGCCAUCUGGCCCAUUUUUGACGCUGAGGCGCGAAAGCGUGGGGAGCAAACAGG
rnacentral:rRNA from 1 species